rnacentral:rRNA from 1 species
AACGAACGCUGGCGGCAUGCCUAACACAUGCAAGUCGAACGAGACCUUCGGGUCUAGUGGCGCACGGGUGCGUAACGCGUGGGAAUCUGCCCUUGGGUUCGGAAUAACAGUGAGAAAUUACUGCUAAUACCGGAUGAUGUCUUCGGACCAAAGAUUUAUUGCCCAAGGAUGAGCCCGCGUAGGAUUAGCUAGUUGGUGGGGUAAUGGCCUACCAAGGCGACGAUCCUUAGCUGGUUUGAGAGGAUGAUCAGCCACACUGGGACUGAGACACGGCGCAGACUCCUACGGGAGGCGGCAGUGGGGAAGAUUGGACAAUGGGCGAAAGCCGGAUCCAGCAAUGCCGCGUGAGUGAUGAAGGCCUUAGGGUUGUAAAGCUCUUUUACCAGGGGUGAUACUGACAGUACCUGGAGAAUCAGCUCCGGCUAACUCCGUGCCAGCCGCCGCCGUAACAC